rnacentral:rRNA from 1 species
GAUGAACGCUAGCUACAGGCUUAACACAUGCAAGUCGAGGGGCAGCAUGGUCUUAGCUUGCUAAGGCCGAUGGCGACCGGCGCACGGGUGAGUAACGCGUAUCCAACCUGCCUUACACUCUUGGACAGCCUUCUGAAAGGGAGAUUAAUACAAGAUGGCAUCAUGAGUCCGCAUGUUCACAUGAUUAAAGGUAUUCCGGUAGACGAUGGGGAUGCGUUCCAUUAGAUAGUAGGCGGGGUAACGGCCCACCUAGUCUUCGAUGGAUAGGGGUUCUGAGAGGAAGGUCCCCCACAUUGGAACUGAGACACGGUCCAA